rnacentral:rRNA from 1 species
GGUUUGGAUUCUGGCUCGAUUGAACGCUUGGCGGAUGGCACAUGCGGUGUUUCAUCCGCAGCACGGACUGGUUCCAGACAGGCGAACGGGUGAGUAAUGUAUCGGAACGUGCCUAGUAGCGGGGGGAUAACUACGCGAAAAGCGGUAAGAAGACACUGCGACACACUUCUUCGGGGGAAAGUGGACCUUCUGGGCCUCGCAAUUAGGAGUUGCCAUUGAUAUCGGAUUAGCCAGUUGUGGGCAACGGGCUCGCCAUGACGAUCCGUGGUGCUGUUUGAGAUGACGGGAAUUCAGCCACACUGGGACCGAGGACACGGCCCAGACUCCUACGGGAGGCAGCAGUGGGGGAAUUUUGGACAAUGGGGGAAACCCUGAUCCAGCCAUCCUGCGUGUGCGAUGAAGGGCCUUGGCUGGUAAAGCACUUUUGGCAGGAAAGAACGCGGCACGGGAUAAUACCCCGUGCAACUGAUUUGGCAUUUCCAGAAUAAGCACCGGCUAACCACGUGCCAGCAGCCGCGGUAAUACGGGUGCAAGCGUUAAUCGGAAUUACUGGCGUAAAGCGUGCGCAGGCGGUUCGAAAAAGAAAGAUGUGAAAUCCCAGAGCUUAACUUUUGAACCGCAUUUUUAACUACCGAGCUAGAGUGUGUCAGAGGGAGGUGGAAUUCCGCGUGUAGCAGGAAUGCGUAGAUAUGUGCGGGAGGAACAACGAUGGCGAAGGCAGCCUCCGGGAUAACACUGACGCCUUAUGCACCGAAAAUGUGGGGAGCAAACAGGAUUAGAUGCCUGGUAGUCCACGCCCAAACGAUAAGCCAACUGGCCGUUGGGGCCCGGCCCGGUAGCGCAGCUAACGCGCAGUGAAGUUGAAUCGCCUGUGUGAGCAUUGGCCUAAGAGAUUAAAAACCAAAGGAAUUGACGGGGACCCGCACAAGCGGUGGAUGAUGUGGAUUAAUUUGAUGCAACGCGAAAAACCUUACCCACCCUUGACACACUAAACCUGAAGAUCGGGGAGUGCUCGCAAGAGAACCGGAACACAGGUGCUGCAUGGUCUGUCGCUCAACUCGUGUCGUGAGAUGUUGGGUUAAGUCUCGCAACGAGCGGAACCUUGUUUGCUUAGUUGCUGCGAGCGUAAGGACUUAAUGAGACUGCCGGUGACAAACCGAGGAAGUGUGGGGACGACGUCAAGUCCUCAUGGCCCUGUAGGCUUCGACGUCAUACAAUGGUCGGGAUAGAGGGUCGCCAACCUCAUGAGGGGAGCCAACCUGAAACCCGAUCGUAGUCCGGAUCAGUCUGCAACUCGAUCCAGGUAGCCGGAAUCGCUAGUAAUCGCGGAUCAGCAUGUCGCGGUGAAAUACGUUCCCGGUCUUGCACACACUGCCCGUCACAUCACGGGAGGGCUUUACCAGAAGUAGGCCUAACCGUAAGGAGGGCGAUUACCACGGUAGGAUCUAUGACUGGGGUGAAGUCAGGCCAAGGUAGCUCG